AAAUGUCUGCGCAAAAGUGAAGGUUUCAUCGAGUUGUGAGAGAGUACUUUUGCACAUAUAACACACUGUGGCCGAGUAGAUGAACCAGUACCAAUACAAGUGAACCCCAAAGCAAUGUUGUUCUCAUCAUAUUUGCGUCUUUUUGAUGAUGUCGUUUCUCUAUCUGUGUGCUUUCUCAUGUCAGGGCGUCGAAGCUCUGAAUCAGACUCACCGUCACUGUCAGUGGCCAUGCUAGUAGCUUGGCUAGCAACAAAUGUACUGCUGCUUGCACCCUGAUCCAAGGACUCGUAAGAGCAACCUGGGCUGCUGUCACCGGCAGGUGCAUCCUCGAUCGUAGGCCUACUGGUAGAAGCUGAUGGUGUCUCUCUGGAUGGGGGAUUAACUCUUUUUCAACCGCUUGUCCAAUCGGAACGAGCUCCCGCUUCCCUACACAGGGCAUCAGCAAGUGGAAUUCUGACAAGGGAGUUCAGCUAACCGUUGUGCCUAUGUUUUGACUAACGGUCACUAACCUACCUGUAGCCAUUUUUGGCAGUGUAAUUAUUUCGCUGAAUAUGGGUAUACAUGAGUAUUUUUGGCAACGUGACUUGGCUAUUCAGACUAGAUUUCAUGUCUAUUUAUAGCUCCGUUUGAAAAUGUAAUGGGCUUUUUCACUUUGAAGACGCAAAUCAAAUGUUCUCCCCGCGUACCCCCUGAACCACUUUGCGUACCCCUGGGGGGUUGGCGAACCCCUGAACCACUUUGAGUACCCCCUGAACCACUUUGCGUACCCCUGGUGGUUGGCGUACGCCAGUUUGUGGGCGGAGUCACCAGUGAACACACGCACACACACACACCUCCACUGAAGGCAGACUGCCUAUUGUUCUUGUCCCCGUCCCAAAACCAUGUGUCUGCAUACUCUGUGUGAUAUCAGGUGUGUGUGUGUGUGUGUCUGCGUGCGGGUUUCCUCAUUCUUAGCAUCGUUCUGUGAUUGUUAUCACACCGGUGUGGCCGUGACGUGACUGACUGACCGUGCUGUCGUGACGCCAGGGAGGUGGUGCCACUCGUGGUGUGUUGCGUCUCUGUGUGAUAUCAGUUGUGUGUGUGUGUGUGUGUGUGUGUGUGUGUGUGUGUGUGUGUAGGCAUGCAGGGUGUUUUGCGUCUCUGUGUGAUAUCAGGUGUGUGUGUGUGUGUGUGGGCAUGCAGGGUGUUUUGCGUCUCUGUGUGAUAUCAGGUGUGUGUGUGUGUGUGUGUGUAGGCGUGUGUGUGUGUAGGCAUGCAGGGUGUUUUGCGUCUCUGUGUGUGUGUGUGUGUGUGUGUGUGUAGGCAUGCAGGGUGUUUUGCGUCUCUGUGUGAUAUCAGGUGUGUGUGUGUGUGUGUGUGUGUGUGUGUGUGUGUGUAGGCAUGCAGGGUGUUCUGCGUCUCUGUGUGUGAUAUCAGGUUCAGACUGCCCAGCGCCCCAGCAGAACCCGUCAGACCUGUUAGGAUCUGGAGCUUUUUGAGCGCCCUGACGCAGACCAGCAGCAGUCCCAAUAUGAGAGGAGGAGACAGCGCCUUCACCUCCACCGCCACUCUCAG
ensembl:lncRNA